GAUGAACGCUAGCUACAGGCUUAACACAUGCAAGUCGAGGGGAAACGAUAUUGGAAGCUUGCUUCCGAUAGGCGUCGACCGGCGCACGGGUGAGUAACGCGUAUCCAACCUGCCCACCACUUGGGGAUAACCUUGCGAAAGUAAGACUAAUACCCAAUGAUAUCUCUAGAAGGCAUCUGAAGGAGAUUAAAGAUUUAUCGGUGAUGGAUGGGGAUGCGUCUGAUUAGCUUGUUGGCGGGGUAACGGCCCACCAAGGCGACGAUCAGUAGGGGUUCUGAGAGGAAGGUCCCCCACAUUGGAACUGAGACACGGUCCAAACUCCUACGGGAGGCAGCAGUGAGGAAUAUUGGUCAAUGGACGAGAGUCUGAACCAGCCAAGUAGCGUGCAGGAUGACGGCCCUAUGGGUUGUAAACUGCUUUUAUAAGGGAAUAAAGUGAGCCUCGUGAGGCUUUUUGCAUGUACCUUAUGAAUAAGGACCGGCUAGUUCCGUGCCAGCCGCCGCGGUAA
rnacentral:rRNA from 1 species